ensembl:misc_RNA
AUGAUAGUACCCAGCAUAUGGUACAUAAAAUGCUAUGCACAGAACAGGUAUAGGACAAGCAACGGCAUGGUUUAAGUUUCCCCAUACUGCUCUGUCAGUAGUUUCACUGGAUAGCCUGUGGGGCAAAGGGUAGUUCAGUUUCCAUGCCCAUUCAUUUCUUGGCUACA